ACAUAAAAGCCGAAUUAAUAAGGUGAUUUAUCUAGUGGGUUAGGUAUCCAACCCAAUUAUCUAAGGGUGCAUUUGUUUGCAAGGAUUUGAAUUUCCGGAAAAUAUUUUUCUGAUUUUACAGUGUUUAGUUGCUUGAAAUUAAAUUACAUGAUUAAAAGAUUUUCCAAAACACGGUAAAUUAUAUGAGUUUUUUUAGGGAAAAUGUCUUACAGAUUUUUAAUCGGUAAGACAUUUUCUGGAAAAUCUUCCUCCACUCUCACCAUUCGCUCUUCAUCCGUUCUGUAAGAUUUUCCAAAAAAAUGAUUGGCUCAUCCAGGAGGACCUGUUUAAUAACUCUUUUAUUCAUCCCUUCUUCAUCUGUUCAGUAAGAUUGGCUGUCAAUAAUGCUUAAAGCUACUGUCUUUCAAAGUACUCUUUUAUUCAUUUCUUUUUCUUCUCUACUUUUGAUCUGUUUAAGUUUUCUUUAAUAUGAUUUUUUUUUUGAAUUUUUGCUUAAUUUUGCAUUACAGACCUGAUCUAGUUCAUAGAAAAAUUAUUUGUGUGCUAAAAUUUGACCUUUUUUUUUAGCUAGUUUGUCAAA